CUACUGGUAGGAAUGUCCAGUA
rnacentral:piRNA from 1 species